CGGAGAAGGAGGGGAGAGUUGUGAGAGCUUUAGAAGUUUGAGUCACAUCCUGUGGGUCAGUGGUUUUCAAGCUACUGUGCCCUAAGGAGCCCUAGGUUUGGUGAAAAGGCCUCAGGGCAGGAGGUAAGCCCUGGACCACUCUGCUUUAUAUUCCAGGACUCCACACAGGAUCACCUUUGAACUAAGGUCCCAGUGAGUAAGAAAGAACCUGGGAAACUGUCGUCAGCCAUGCGGGAAGCUCUUGUUGGUUAGUCUAAGGCUCUGCCUCCUGGCUAUGAUCUUUUUUUGGCCACUUGGAGGUGUCAGUGGCCCCAAGAGGCCUCCUCCCCUGAUGGGCCCUGACAGAUGGGCGUGACCAUCACCUCUGCCCACUUCCCUGCCCAGCAGGGGACUGUGGAGACAACUCCAGCCAGUGGCUUCCUUGGCUUUGAGGCUAGUUGUCUGUGGUCUCAUUUGCAUUUAUGUCACAGAAGAGUCAGCAGGAACCAAAUAUAGACCUAGGGAAGAAACCAGCCAUGUCGAGCAAGGGCUGCAGCACAGAGCAGGCUGCAAUCCCUUUGUGGGGAGUCAGGCAGGCAGGCAUGGGCUGUGGCCAGAAUCAUCGGUUGCUACAGGAUGGGCAAGGUUCAGCCCAAACCCUCCCUCCUCCAGGAAGCCCUCCUGCUGCCUCAGGGAAAUGUCUCCCCCUUUCUGUGCCUACGUGCCUCUGUUAGAGCAGGAGUCACUGUGAGGAUGACGAUAAUACCGAUAAUAGCGUUCUGCUCCUGGUGAGUGACUGGUGAGGAGUUUUCUAUGCAUGACCUGGAUCCCCAGGGCACCUUUGUGUGGAUUAGAAAAGGAUCCUCCUUCCUGUGGGUACACACAGCUCCGCCCCAGGGUAGACACAGCUCUGUCCCAGGGCCAUGGCAUUUCUGCAGGUUGCAGCCAUCUGUCCAGCCUGAAAAGGAGACAGCUGCUGUGAUCUCUGGCCACAGCUGGGAAACUGAGACCCAUGUCACAUUAGGGCACCUUCUCCCAAGGCUGCUGAGGCUCUCACUCCCUGAUCCGGCUGUGCUGGCUACAAGAAUGUCUCCCUUGUUCAGGUAAGUGGCGUGCCAGGCUCUGUGUCUAUCCCGAGAAGACGCUAUGGUCUGAGUGUUUUUGUACCCCCUACAACGUAUAUGUUGAAAUCCUCACCAGCAAGGUGAGAGUAUGGGAGUGGGGUCUUUGGAACAGACUGGGGCAUGGGGCAGAGCCCUGCUGAUUGGGAUUCACGCCCUUAUAAAGGAGGCCUGAGGAAAACCCCCGGCACCUUCCAUCACAUGACGAUGAAGCAAGACAGCCGCAUCCAGGAAGCAGAGAGCCAGCCCUCCCAGACACGGGAGCUGCUGACACCUUGAUCUGGGACUUUCAGCCUCCAGAACUGUGAGAAAUACGUGUCUGCCAUUUCUAAGCCACCCCAUCCGUGGUAUUUUGUUGUAGCAGCCUGAAUGGAUUGAGACAGGGGAUCUCACUUCCAGCGAGUCUCAGAGGGCACUUGGCUAGGCCCAGCUAGAGGCUGGCCUUGUUGCUGCAAAUCCUGAGCCAGAGGACAGCCUCCACCACCAAGCACUAUGGCCAGCUGAGAGACAAAACACAGAGCAGGGCCCUCACCUAACUGCCCUGCGACUUCAACCCCAGCGUAGGGAAGGAACCAUCUCUCCAAUGGGUCAUUGAUGCCGUCCCAGCAGGAAGGGCAUACCAGCUGCCUCAGAUGCACCAAAGUAAACUCAAAAAGGAUUUGUGAUGCCAUCAGCCACUCAUUUCAGACUCAUUCACCUCCUCCAGGAUCUUCUCUCUAUCAUCAGGUGUCCAUAGACUCACGUGGACGUAUUGCCCAAAGCCCAGUCACAAAGCAUCUAACCCAGCCUUAGCACACCUGGGCCCCCACUGUCCCCUACACCCAUGGCAGAUGUCACUAAUGGCUCACCACACCUGUUUCCUGUUAAGCCUGGAUUGAACCUCAGAAUUCUUCUCAACCCAGUGCCACAGCCAGAGCCAUCUGAGUUGGAAUGUGUACGAUGCAACCUAUUGUAGCCAUCCCCGAGGGGAUCAAUGCCCAGAUUUGAGAUGACAAAACUGGGGACCAGCAACAGGAGGGAAAUGGUGCCAGUCACAGAGCCCAUUGGCAGCAGAGACAUGGCAAGAAGCCCGUGUCCCUCUUCUGAAAUGGAGGCUGUGGAAUCAGGGAAGUUUUGGGGAACUCCUCACAGUUAGUGUUGCAGGCCCUGGGGCAACUCUUGUACAUUCCUUCAAUGCCUGCCCUGGGGGCCCAUAUCCCAGGCUUGAGUGCAUCAAAAGGACCCACUCUUCCAUCCCCCCGGCGGCUCCAGGGACCAGCAGGGGCCGCAGGGCAGGCCUGACCUUCAUACAUAGUUCCCUGCACACACUUGGCUAAAUAUGACCAGGGUGAGAGCGGGCGCAGUGGGGAAGGAUGUGGAAGGAAGGGUCAAGGGCCUCUGGUGACUCAUGAUGUGGGCUCAGGGAGUGUUUGGUGAGCCAACAUGUCAGGAUGGAAAAGAGGAUCACCAGAGGCUGAAGUGUGGGGGCCUCGUGAGAAUCGAAGUACACCAGGAGCUCAGAGAGGCCGGUGUGUUGGAGUGGGAAGAGGCUGUCACACUGAGAUGGUCUCUGGGCAGAGAAACUGGACGGGGAAGGCCUGAGCUUCAGAAACAGCCCCUUCCCCAGCUUCAAGGUGGCCGUGCUCUGUUCUGAAAGAUGUCUGAUCUUUCCCGCCAAAGAAAUAAAAACAUUGUCCAAAAGCC